rnacentral:misc_RNA from 1 species
UUGAAGCUGUACUUGAUUCUCCAGGACCACCAGUACCUACUGCAUCUCCAUUAAUACUGGACCCAGCAAGAGAUGCUGUCGGUGUAACUGGAGCUGAACGUCUCCUUACUUUUGUCAAAGCUUUAUCUAAUCGUUGUAUAAACAUGUCCACAUCUGAUUUCUUCAUGCCUAAAGCUGCAGCAGCAGUUAAGUAUGGCUACUUCCUGCAGCUUUUGGUUGUACUUCUUCUAAAUCACUUGAUCUUCCUAUGCCAUGACCCAUUCGAAAAUGUCGCCUUGCAACAAUGUUCGAUACGAUUCUUGCUUCACGUUCUCCAACACUACAAUUCGAAGGAAAAUUGUUGCUGUCCAUUUGUGACAGAUCUGAGAGAAAAGCUUCUAUUGUUGCAUCAUCCCAACCCUCUUCUGGCCACUUUUGCUAUUUUAAAACAAUUUAUAUUAGUAAUUAAAUGAUAUAAUACAAUUAUAUUAAUAUAUUAGUAAUUAAAUGAUAUUGUCAGAAUAUUAAUUGAAACCUUACAUGUUCGAUGAAGUGUCUUAUAAGAUUUUCACGUGCUUUUUUUGCAUUUAAACCUUGUUGUACAUAGGUUGAAGGAAUAAGUCUUUCAGCUAAACUGAAUGCCUGAUUAUUCAUCUUCUUGAUUUAUUUAAUUCUUUCACACACUUAGGCCAGAAAUAUUAGAAAGUUUGAUGUCUUAGCACAGCAUUGCUUUUAAUAAUUAAUAUCAAAUGAUUAGAAUAAUUAUUAAUCUACAAAUAAUAUGAACAUGAAAUGCUCAUUAUACAACACAAGAAAAUGAUAUAACUUUAUAUAAAAAUAUUCUUCUAUGAUAUUCAAAUGCAUAAACAUUUAAUACAAAAUUAUAUUUUACUUAAAUAAAAGAUAUUGCUCCAUGAAUGAUUUUUAUGUAAAUAGAAGGUGCAACAAUGUUGAUGGUAUCAUAGAAAAGAAAACAAAGUUUCCAUAUAAAAAUGAAAUUUAUUAAAAUAUCAAAUAUAUGGGUACAAAAAAUCAUACAUUACAUAUUAUAACAUGCAAAAGCUAAUUACAAAUCAAAAAGAUAUGUAUGCAACUUAAAAAAAUAUAUAAAAUCACAUUUGUAUAUCAAUAAAUAUUCGUAACUAUAUUUCAGAAAAAAAUACAGUACGAAAAUAUAUUACAUAAUUUCAUAGAAUAUGAAUAAAAAUUAAUAAAAUAGCGAAAAAUCAUUAAGUAACCAUAAACAUCAGUAUCACAUAAAAUCAAAGAACAAACACGCUGUUGUUUAUUUAAACGAAUUUAACAAAAUACAACAAAUUCAACAUCGAUAUAAAGGUUAUGUACUUUUAUUAUGUACGGAUUAAAACACUAUUCACAAAAAAAAAAAAUGAGAAAAGAAUAAAUAGUUACAAUAUCUAAAGUUCUGUUAAAAGCUGGCUAACAAAUAAAUAAAAAAAAGGUUGAUUCGAAUG